GACGAACGCUGGCGGCGUGCCUAACACAUGCAAGUCGAGCGAGUGAAUCUCCUUCGGGAGUGAAACUAGCGGCGGACGGGUGAGUAACACGUGGGCAACCUGCCUCAUAGAGGGGAAUAGCCUUUCGAAAGGAAGAUUAAUACCGCAUAAGAUUGUAUCUUCGCAUGAAGUAGCAAUUAAAGGAGGAAUCCGCUAUGAGAUGGGCCCGCGGCGCAUUAGCUAGUUGGUGAGGUGACGGCUCACCAAGGCGACGAUGCGUAGCCGACCUGAGAGGGAGAUCGGCCACCAUGGGACUGAAACACGGCCCAGACUCCUACGGGAGGCAGCAGUGGGGAAUAUUGCACAAUGGGGGAAACCCUGAUGCAGCAACGCCGCGUGAGUGAUGACGGCCUUCGGGUUGUAAAACUCUGUCUUCAGGGACGAUAAUGACGGUACCUGAGGAGGAAGCCACGGCUAACUACGUGCCAGCCGCCGCCGUAA
rnacentral:rRNA from 1 species